rnacentral:lncRNA from 1 species
AAAAAACUGCCAUGGCUCUCCAAGCAACUCGAAACAUCCAAUACAACAUAAAACAUUCACAAUCAUAUUUAAACAAACUGCCCAGUACUAGUCGUAAAUUCACAAUCAUAUAUAAACAAAUUCAGAGUCAUAUAUAAACAAACUCCCCAGUACCAUUCAUAUAUAUAAAUAAAUUCACAGUCAUAUAUAAACAAAUUCACAAUCAUAUAUACACAAUCUGCCCAGUACAACUCACAAUGUGCACAAUUGCACAUUCACAAUCAUAUAUAAACAAAUUGCCCUGUAUCGGUCACAAUUGCACAAUCAUAUAUAAACAAACUGCACAGCACAAGUAACAAUUGCAAAAUCCUAUAACAUUCAGACAUCAUCUUUUGCGACAGUGGACUCAAUCAUAGAAGUAUA